rnacentral:rRNA from 1 species
CUCCUGGAAACGGGUGGUAAUGCCGGAUGUUCCACAUGAGCGCAUGCGAGUGUGGGAAAGGCUUUUUGCGGCAUGGGAUGGGGUCGCGUCCUAUCAGCUUGUUGGUGGGGUAACGGCCUACCAAGGCGUUGACGGGUAGCCGGCCUGAGAGGGCGACCGGCCACAUUGGGACUGAGAUACGGCCCAGACUCCUACGGGAGGCAGCAGUGGGGAAUAUUGCACAAUGGGCGCAAGCCUGAUGCAGCGACGCCGCGUGCGGGAUGGAGGCCUUCGGGUUGUAAACCGCUUUUGUUCAAGGGCAAGGCACGGUUUCGGCCGUGUUGAGUGGAUUGUUCGAAUAAGCACCGGCUAACUACGUGCCAGCAGCCGCGGUAAUACGUAGGGUGCAAGCGUUAUCCGGAUUUAUUGGGCGUAAAGGGCCCGUAGGCGGUUCGUCGCGUCCGGUGUGAAAGUCCAUCGCUUAACGGUGGAUCCGCGCCGGGUACGGGCGGGCUUGAGUGCGGUAGGGGAGACUGGAAUUCCCGGUGUAACGGUGGAAUGUGUAGAUAUCGGGAAGAACACC